CCUAGUUUUGUUCCGGCGUUGCCGGAUUGACCUCAGAUCAGAUCGCCGGUGUAGGUUCAUUGCCGGUGCUUUGCAUUCGGAUCAUUGCUUCGUGUGAGUAGAGCUUCGAUCAGGAAGGGGGUCCUAGCCCUAGCCUUGAUCCUCCUCUGUUCUUGAUGUUGUGCCCUAGCUCUGAAUUUCGCCUCCUCUUCAGAGCAAUGGGGUUCCGACAAUGAGACAGCGAGGGUUACGGGAUUGGAGAAGAAGAAUAGUGGGGUUUUGUUCUGUCGG